rnacentral:rRNA from 1 species
AUUGAACGCUGGCGGCAGGCCUAACACAUGCAAGUCGAACGAGAGGCGGACGGGUGAGUAAUGUCUGGGAAACUGCCUGAUGGAGGGGGAUAACUACUGGAAACGGUAGCUAAUACCGCAUACCAUCAGAUGGGCCACGAUGGGAUUAGCGAAUUGGUGGGGUAACGGCUCACCAAGGCGACGAUCCCGAGCUGGUCUGAGAGGAUGACCAGACACACGGGAACUGAGACACGGUCCAGACUACUACGGUAGGCAGCGAGGGGGAAUAUUGCAAAAUGGGCGAAAGCCUGAUGCAGCCAUGGCGCGUGUAUGAAGAAGGCCUUCGGGUUGUAAAGUACUUUCAGCGGGGAUGCGUUACCCUCAGAAGAAGCAACGGCUAACUCCGGGCCAGCAGCCGCGGUAAUAC